GUUUGAAUACCAAGAUCAACAUCAAGUGGAUGUGAUGUAGCAGAAAAGUUUUUUCCACCACACUGAUUACUUCAAAUAGAGGUAAAAAAAGGAUUUGAAAUCAAUUAACAGAGUGGUAAUCUUUUGCCAAAGAAAGACUCUGCACUCCGCAACAAGGAAAACAACAAACAAAGACAUGCUUUCAAGCUAUACAUUGGACAACAUCUCCAGAUUAUCCACGUCUCUCAUAGUGACUCCUACUCACCAGCAAGUUAUUCCCAUUGCGAAACAUCUGUA